CUGAAAAAAAUAAAGCGUUCUGAUUUACAAAAGCUUGGCUGGCUUGGAAAUGAAAGCGACUGCCCUGGAAGGCUGGGUGUUCUAUUCUUACACUGAUGCAAGAGGACCCUGAAAUGUGCCAGUUGUUCAGAAUCCUAUGGAGGAGAAGUGCUUCAACCUUUCUUGAAGUCAUUUUGGUUUUCAUGAUCAAAGAGAUUGCUCAGAAGCUGGGCACAUCUGUGCAGGAGAUCAAGAGGUUCCUCAAGUCCUUGGAAUUGUUG